rnacentral:rRNA from 1 species
GGUAGCAUAAUCACUUGCCCAUUAAUUGUGGGCUAGAAUGAAAGGACCAACGAAAUAAAAACUGCCUCUAUGAGUAACAUAAAAAUUAAUCUCUAACUGAAGAUUGUUAGAUAGCAUCGAAGGACAAGAAGACCCUAUAGAGCUUUAUUUUUACAAAUAACUAAAAUUUAUAUAAAAUUCGGUUGGGGCGACCGGGGAAAUUGGCUAUCAUCCCCUAAUAACAGAUAAAUAAAUCACAUACUUGACCCUUUCUAAAGAUCAUUAAAACAAGCUACCUUAGGGAUAACAGGCUAAUCCCGCUAAAGAGUCCUUAUCAAUAGCAGGAUUUGGCAC